rnacentral:misc_RNA from 1 species
UCUCCGUUGGUGAACCAGCGGAGGGAUCAUUACUGAGUCAAAGACUCUCAACCACUGUGAAAACACCUCUUUGUUGCUUCGGCGUUGACGGACCUUUCCGGGGGGGAGGCGGCCUACCGUGCUUCGGCGCGGGCGGCUUAGCGGAGCCCCCGGAGGGAACGGAAGCGCCAGAAGCCCCCUAUCUCGGCUUCGGCCGAUUUAGACUCUUUUUAACUGGUUUACAUGCCUGUCUGAUUAUUGGUUACCAAAUUGAUACAUACAACUUUCAACAACGGAUCUCUUGGCUCUGGCAUCGAUGAAGAACGCAGC